CAUGAGGGCCUGUGGGGGGACAGCAUCCUCUGUAAAGACCUGUGCGCAGGCCAAGCUUCUCCGUAGGAGCCCGGGAAGGAGCUAGGUUCCCCUAUUGAGGACCGGAUGGGAGGCCAGGAUCAUCUACAGGAGCCAGGGAAGAAUCCAGACUCCUCUAUAAGGGAGUGGCCAGGCUCCCCCUAUAAGCACUGGCAGGGAGGCGAGGCUCGUCUAUAGGAGCCUAAGAGGAGGCCAGGUUCCCCUAUACGGACCUGUGGAGGGGCCAGGCUCUCCUAUAAGGCCGCGGGGGGAGGACUCGGGGAGGAGGGGCAGGCUCCUCCACAGGAGCCUGGGAGGAGGCCGGGUGUCUCUAUAAGGGUCUGUCGGGACGUCAAGCUGCUGCUAGAGGGAAUGUGAGGUGAGAAACCAAGCCCCUACUACUGAGGAUGCCGAGUGUGAGGUCUCUUCUUUCUACCCGUGUCAUAGCAGGACCUGGAAGUGCCAUUGGAGCAGGACAGCGUGAGCUGCAGUGCCUGAGGCAUCUCCAGCCACAGCGGGGCUGCUGGCUCAGCCUGGGGGACCAGGCAUCACUGACCCUCCUGCUCCCUGCCCUGGUGCUCGGCUGUCCCCAGGGAGCCACCGCUGGAGCCGAGGCCAAGCCCCACUGGAGCAGAAGGGAUGUCAUCCAGUCCCCAGAUGGAAGAGCCCCUGCAGAGCUCAGUCCCUCCUUGCAGAAGACAUCGUAGUCGAGGACCUAAUGAUCUUGAAUAGGCUUCCUUCCAGGAGAAGGAACCUGAACAUCCUAGGGUGCUUUGAAGGUGUAGCAGCCCCAGCCCUGACAAAAAGGGAAC